AAUCCAUGCAUAUGACACUUCCUCGGUAAUUCUUUAAAUCUUUCCCAUGCUUCAUAAAAGCUUACAUCUUCUAUAUGAUUGAAUGAAGUUAAACCAUUUCAAAGUUU